UGGGGAAUAUUGCACAAUGGGCGCAAGCCUGAUGCAGCCAUGCCGCGUGUAUGAAGAAGGCCUUCGGGUUGUAAAGUACUUUCAGCGGGGAGGAAGGGAGUAAAGUUAAUACCUUUGCUCAUUGACGUUACCCGCAGAAGAAGCACCGGCUAACUCCGUGCCAGCAGCCGCGGUAAUACGGAGGGUGCAAGCGUUAAUCGGAAUUACUGGGCGUAAAGCGCACGCAGGCGGUUUGUUAAGUCAGAUGUGAAAUCCCCGGGCUCAACCUGGGAACUGCAUCUGAUACUGGCAAGCUUGAGUCUCGUAGAGGGGGGUAGAAUUCCAGGUGUAGCGGUGAAAUGCGUAGAGAUCUGGAGGAAUACCGGUGGCGAAGGCGGCCCCCCGGACGAAGACUGACGCUCAGGUGCGAAAGCGUGGGGAGCAAACAGG
rnacentral:rRNA from 1 species